AAGCGGAAGCGGAAGGAAGGGGGCGUGGCCUCCGAGGCUUCUUGGCUGAGUCGAGGGCCUGGGCAUUGUGCAUGAAGCCCACCACAUCGUCCAGACUCCAGCACAGGGCAUCUGCCAACAGGACCAGUGACUCAUCAAAGUACUCGGCCACCAUGACCAGGUCAAAGACUGAGUCCAACCAGGCCAGACCCCAUUGGAUAAAGGAUGAGGGCCUAAAAUCUGAGGAGACAAGGCUGGCUGGCUGCUUGUAACUAUCAGCAGCUGUGGUAACAGGACGGAAGAGAGUUCCAGGGCUAGCACCGGAAGGAGAAGGCAGAGCGGGCUAGAGCUGCUGGAUCUCGGACAAUGGAAAAGAAGAAGCUAUCAGAAGGCAUGACCUGAAGUACCUGCAGAAGAAAGAAAGAGAGGAAGAGCUUGACUGAGGAGAAAAUGAGUCCAAGCUGAGGCUCUGAUGAGCCGUCAGGCUCUGCUGUACACCCCCAGUUUCCCCUACUAGCUGUGUGAUGUUGGGGAAAUUACAUAGCACCUCUGAAAUUCAAUUUGCUGUCUGCAAAAGGAAAGUAGUCAGAGGUUCCCAGGUAAUUGAGAAUACUCGAAAUAACAGCUAGUCAGAAAUCUAGAACACAAAGCUCUUACUGGUUAUUAAUGUCCUUGGGUUUUUGUGUCUUCGUUGGUAGAGAAAACUCUCAAACCUGGGGCUGGGGAGAUGGCUCAGUCAAUAAAGUGUGUGCCACACAAGCA